rnacentral:piRNA from 1 species
UCCAACCCAGACUGCAUACUGUGGCCUCUCA